GGAGCAAGCUUUCAGUGACAGCGUUCAGGAAGGGUGACGAUUCAGGCUGGGAGCAGAUACCUUGGUGUCACUGGAAUCCAUGGAGCUGACUACGUCCUCCU
rnacentral:lncRNA from 7 species